ACAAUGAAGAGUUUGAUCCUGGCUCAGGAUGAACGCUAGCUACAGGCUUAACACAUGCAAGUCGAGGGGCAUCAGGAAGAAAGCUUGCUUUCUUUGCCGGCGACCGGCGCACGGGUGAGUAACACGUAUCCAACCUGCCCUUUACUCGGGGAUAGCCUUUCGAAAGAAAGAUUAAUACCCGAUAGCAUAAUGAUUCCGCAUGGUUUCAUUAUUAAAGGAUUCCGGUAAAGGAUGGGGAUGCGUUCCAUUAGGUUGUUGGUGGGGUAACGGCCCACCAAGCCUUCGAUGGAUAGGGGUUCUGAGAGGAAGGUCCCCCACAUUGGAACUGAGACACGGUCCAAACUCCUACGGGAGGCAGCAGUG
rnacentral:rRNA from 1 species